rnacentral:rRNA from 1 species
UACAGAGGUGGCAAGCGUUGUUCGGAAUUACUGGGCGUAAAGCGUGUGUAGGCGGCCUUGCAAGUCGGAUGUGAAAGCCCCGGGCUCAACCCGGGAAGUGCACUCGAUACUGCAGGGCUUGAGUAUCGGAGAGGUUGGUGGAAUUCUCGGUGUAGAGGUGAAAUUCGUAGAUAUCGAGAGGAACACCGGCGGCGAAGGCGGCCAACUGGACGAUUACUGACGCUGAGACACGAAAGCGUGGGGAGCAAACAGG